GAAACGGAUUUUGUUGAGCUCCAACUACAUGACAAGUUACAGCCGUUCUUGAAAACAGGAAAGGUACGACGAUUUCACGAAGAGACCCCGUGCCCGACUUGGAGCUUUGCCAGUCAGCCCAGCAGCAGGCUAUGUGUGUCCAAGACGUAGAGAGACACUUAGCGACUACAAUAAAGUGUUUAAAGCAGUGAAAAACCAAGUUCUGAAGACGUGAACACAGGAAGAAGUAAAAAAACAGGUACUACUGAAGUAAUGAAGCAAACUACUAAAACGCCCUCAUCACAAUUUCUCCGAGAAAUCAGAAGAGGCGGAAUUUGAACAACUUC